UUUCUUUUCCGAAUCAAAUCAACUUGCCUUUGGUUUUAGAAUGGCCCGUGAGAUUAAAGCCAUCAGAAAGAAGUUAGAUGCCAUCAACACCGAUAGACAAAAUUUUCACUUGGAGGUACGCCAGGUUGAGGUACGAGUUGGGAGUAGGGAGAGGGAUAACACUCAUUCUUUUGUACCUGCGGAAGUAGUUAUUGGGCGAAAGGAUGAUAAGAAGGCUGUUAUAGACCUUCUGAUGGACUCCAAUGUUGAAGAGAAUGUUUCCAUCCUUCCAAUUGUUGGCAUCGGUGGAUUGGGAAAGACUACACUCGCUCAAUUUGUAUUCAAUGAUCACCAAAUCCAGAAACAUUUUGAGCUCAAAAUGUGGGUGUGUGUCUCUGAUAUGUUUGAUGUUAAAAAUAUUUUUGCAAAAGUCUUAGAAUCUGCAACCAAGGAGAAACCAGCAGACGCUGAAAUGGAUACAUUGGUGGCUAAACUUAGAGAAAAAAUCCAAGGAAAGAAAUACUUCCUAGUGUUGGAUGAUGUGUGGAAUGGUGAUCAUAGAAAAUGGUGUCGCUUGAAAGAAGUGCUGAUGGGUGGUGCAAGAGGCAGUAGAAUAGUAGUGACUACCCGCAAUGAAAUCGUUGCAAAGACUAUCCGUCAGGAAAGCGUUGCAAGCAUUAUUGGGACAGUUGAAUCAUAUUCCUUAAAAGGUUUAGAUGAAGACGCAUCAUGGUCUUUAUUUAAGCAGAAGGCCUUUAAGAGAGGACAAGAGCCAGAGAAUAUAAGCAUGGUCGCACUUGGAAAGGAGAUCGUAAAAAAGUGUUCAGGUGUCCCUUUGGCCAUAUCGACAAUCGGAAGUUUACUGGGCUCCAAAAAUUCAGAAGCAGAAUGGGUGUAUUUUAAGAACAAUGAACUCUCAAAAAUAUCUCAAAAUGUAAGUGACCUCUUACCAACUUUGAAGCUGAGUUAUGAUCAUCUUCCUUCACACUUGAAGCACUGCUUUGCUUAUUGUAGUUUGUUUCCGAAGGAUUGCUGGUUUGAUACAUCAAAUUUGAUUCGGCUUUGGAUAGCACAAGGGUUAGUCAAGUCUUCUGAUGAUCAAAGCCGAUGCUUGAAAGAGGUUGGUGAAGAGUAUUUUAUGGAUUUACUAUGGAGAUCAUUCUUUCAAGAAGCUCGAACGGAUGAGUUUGGCGACGUAAUUGAAUGCAAAAUGCAUGACCUCAUGCAUGAUCUUGCCAUAUCAGUGGCAGGAUCGUUGAUUGCCACAUUAGAUGACAAGGAGAGAAACCUUGAUGGGAAAACUCGUCAUGUAUCAUUACUUGUUGGUUACGAUAAACCUAUUUCUUCAUUGUGUGAAGCAAGUAGGAUACGGACAUUUCUUUUUCUCAAUGACCUUAUGUAUAAGAUUGAUUGUGAUGAACUUUUUUCAAGUUUCAAGUUCUUGCGCAUGUUGGAUUUGUCGUGCAGAGAUCUUGAUUAUGUGCCAAGCUCUAUCGGGGAGUUGAAGCAUUUACGGUGUCUUGAUCUUUCUUUAAAUGAGAAUAUCAAGAAGUUACCAGAUUCUAUAACUAGGUUGCAGAAUUUGCAAGAAUUAAUACUCUGGGGGUGUGCAUCACUUAAAGAAUUGCCGAGAGACAUUAAAAAAUUGGUCAAUCUCAGGCAUCUUGAGAUACUUGGAUGUGGUGGUUUGACUUAUAUGCCACGUGGAUUGGGGAAACUGAAUAAUCUUGAGACGUUAACAAAUUUUGUGGUCCACUCGGGUUCUCACUUCAAGCAUUGCGGUGGUUUACGAGAAUUGAACGGACUCAAUAAGCUGAGUGGAAGUUUAAUGAUUUCAAAUCUUGGACAUGGGAAAGAUGUUGCAUUAGAAUAUAAGGCUGUAAAUCUAAAGGAGAAACAACAUCUUCAUUCUUUGACUUUAUUUUGGAGUAUUCAAGGAGAUGUCAAUGAUUGGGACGUUGUCGAUGAUAAAAUGCCUUGGGAAGGCUUCCAACCGCCCCCAAAUCUGAAACAUCUAUACUUACAUCACUAUCCGGGUUCAAGGCUACCGAGUUGGGUUUUUUCAUUGACAAAUCUUGUGAAGUUGUGGCUAUGUGAUUGUCGUACAUUAAAGUCUCUCCCCCUUCAACAUCUCACUUCUGUUCAAGAAUUGUUUCUUGUGCGUUGUCUUGAGCUUGAGCUAGCCAAUGAUAAGGAUGGGAUGCAAUGGCAAGGCCUUACGAGCCUCCUCUCUCUUUGCUUCAGUGGACUUCCAAAAUUGGUUUCUCUCCCCUCAAGACUUCAACAUGCUACCACUCUACAAAAUCUUAGGAUUACGAAUUGUGAAAGCUUGAAGGCUAUACCAGAGUGGAUCCACAACUUCAAAUCACUUCAAGAUUUUGAAAUUGAUGGAUGCUCCAGUUUGACUUCACUGCCCGAAGGAAUGGGUAGGCUAACGUCUUUGAAGAGACUAACAAUUAAGAAUUGUCCCAUCUUAUUGCGAAGAUGCAAGAGAGACACUGGUGACGAUUGGGCAAAGAUUGCUCACGUUCCAGAGUUAGAGUUAUUGUAGCAAGAAGAAAAUUCAAGCACCCAUGCAUCUUUGACCAUUCAGAAGAGUCGCAGAUGGUAUUGUCAGCAAAACUACUUAUAAGCUUCUUGGAUGUAGCACAACUAUAAUUUUGAACACUGUUAAGUUGAAAAAGGGAUCUCAUGAAUGAAGGGAGGAACAUGCAGUGAAGGUCUUGGAGAAGGAAUGUAGAAAAGUGUUUCCAUGGAAAAUGCUACAUAUCUACUAUGGGAUGGUUUUUGUACUUGUUGAUAACGCUGUAGAUGCAAAAUGAAAGAGGAUGACUUACACUACUGGAUCAACAAGCUGUAGAUGCAAAAUGAAAGAGGAUGACUUACACUACUGGGUUCUUUGGGCUUGACCCUUGCUUGGAAAAUAUAUAUAGAGAUAUAUUUACAAAAGAAGACCAAUCAAGCUAAUAUAAUGGGCUGAAUGCUGAUUGCAGCAUUUGCAGCUAUGAUUCGGAACUGAGGAGAUAUAUAGCAAGGAAACCUACUAGAAAAUGUGCCAUCUUUGCUGAAACUUUGGGGGUUAUGUUUUUUGGUGUUACUCCUGACUCAAUAUGAAAAUGAGAGUUGUGCUGCCAAUAUUAACAUAAGGGCCCUUACAGGGCAAAGUAGCAGAAGAAUGUUGAAGCAUGAAGCCAAACAUUUUUCCUAGUUGCAUUUGAUCAGAGAGCUACAGAUCACUUUUGAAGCCAAACAGUGUUCCCAAUUGAUCAACUUAAAGAUAAUUAGAGAUUUUUCUUUUAUUUGGAAUUGAUUUGUUUAUGAAUAGAAAACUCAUUUGUCUCAAAAAGGGUAAACAUAAUUGGUUUGUUGAUGAAUGGAAUGGCUAUUUCCUUA